rnacentral:rRNA from 1 species
CUGGCGGCGUGCCUAAUACAUGCAAGUCGAAUGGUAGUAGCAAUACAAACCAUGGCGAACGGGUGAGUAACACGUAGGUAACCUGUCUUUAAGACGAGGAUAACCAUUGGAAACGAUGGAUAAUACUGGAUAGGACAUUACAAGGGGCAUCCCUAAAUGUUUAAAGAUUAUUAUGUCACUUAGAGAGGGGCCUGCGGCGCAUUAGCUAGUUGGUGAGAUAACAGCCCACCAAGGCGAUGAUGCGUAGCCGGACUGAGAGGUUGAACGGCCACAAUGGAACUGAGAACGGUCCAUACUCCUACGGGAGGCAGCAGUAGGGAAUUUUCGGCAAUGGGCGCAAGCCUGAACCCGAGCAACGCCGCGUGAACGAAGAAGUUAUUCGUAAUGUAAAGUUCUUUUAUCUGGGAAGAAAAAACAAAUUGACGGUACCAGAUGAAUAAGCUCCGGCUAACUACGUGCCAGCCGCUGC